rnacentral:rRNA from 1 species
UUCGGCACCAAUACAGCCCUAGGAGAUACACCUGUACCCAUGCCGAACACAGAAGUUAAGCCCUAGAACGCCGGAAGUAGUUGGGGGUUGCCCCCUGUGAGGUUGUGUUGACUCAC